AGAGAAAGAAAAAACAAAGAAAGAAAAGAGAAGAGAAAAUAUUUCUUCGCCAAUUAAGGAAAGAGUUAUCCUGACUUUUCCUUUGCCACUCUGACUUUGGCUUGGGGUGUUUUUGCAUUUUUGACUUGCCUU
rnacentral:ribozyme from 1 species